CUUUUAGAGAUAGAAGUGUUCUCUUCGGAGACAAAGUGACAGGUGGUGCAUGGUCGUCGUCAGCUCGUGUCGUGAGAUGUUGGGUUAAGUCCCGCAACGAGCGCUACCCUUAUUGUUAGUUGCCAGCAUUCAGAUGGGCACUCUAGCGAGACUGCCGGUGACAAACCGGAGGAAGGCGGGGACGACGUCAGAUCAUCAUGCCCCUUAUGACCUGGGCUACACACGUGCUACAAUGGCGUAUACAACGAGUUGCCAACCCGCGAGGGUGAGCUAAUCUCUUAAAGUACGUCUCAGUUCGGAUUGA
rnacentral:rRNA from 1 species